GUUCUGCAGGAGAGCUUUUUCUUCUCCCUGUCAGCAUUAUGGAGAAGUGGCUAGCCUGGACUCCUGCCUCAGGGCAGGCCUGUUGGAGGACUGCCUCGCAGAGAUGCCUGUGACCUAAUGUUUGCAGGGAAGGAUGCCUGUCCUGACGGCUGUAAUGUCUUAUCAGUCUGUGCAAGAUAUCUGAUCCUCUUCAGUGCUGGGAAGGAUUGAAAGGAAUCUGUGUUGCUUUGCACCAAAAUGAAUUGGGAGUGCUUGCACGAGCCAUCCAGGUGAAGGAUGCCCCCGUGGCCCAAAGGGCUGCAGCCUGGAAAUUGCUACUCAAUCAGAGCCUUGUGUGGAGAGAUGCACUAAUCAAAAACUACUCGGAGCCAUGUCUCAAUAAUGCCUCUGUGUGAGUACUAAGUCAGAAAACACUGCCGAUUUUCAUCAUUAAAGCCUGCCUCAGAUCAAAAGGUGACAGCUCUGCUGCCACAGAGCUGAGAAGCAUUAAUGCCAUACAUAUUUAUCUUCUUACAAAAGAAAGAAAUUACAGUUGAGUCAUGUUUUCAAAUUUAUAGGUGGUCAUCAAGGUUUCUGAAAUACACUGGAGCAUAAAUGUGAUGCACUUAAGUUACAGAACUGAAGGUUGAGGCUGGUGAGAGGCAGUUCAGGCAGGAACACAAGGCUGAGCACCUCGCUGAGU
rnacentral:lncRNA from 1 species